CCUACGGGAGGCAGCAGUGGGGAAUCUUGCGCAAUGGGCGAAAGCCUGACGCAGCAACGCCGCGUGCGGGAAGAAGGCUUUCGGGCUGUAAACCGCUUUCAGCAGGAACGAAAAUGACGGUACCUGCAGAAGAAGGAGCGGCCAACUAUGUGCCAGCAGCCGCGGUGAUACAUAGGCUUCAAGCGUUGUCCGGAUUUAUUGGGCGUAAAGAGUUCGUAGGCGGUCGAGUAAGUCGGGUGUGAAAAUUCUGGGCUCAACCCAGAGACGCCACCCGAUACUGCUUGACUUGAGUUCGAUAGGGGAGUGGGGAAUUCCUAGUGUAGCGGUGAAAUGCGCAGAUAUUAGGAGGAACACCGGUGGCGAAGGCGCCACUCUGGAUCGAUACUGACGCUGAGGAACGAAAGCAUGGGUAGCAAACAGGAUUAGAUACCCUGGUAGUCCAUGCCGUAAACGGUGGGCACUAGGUGUGGGUUUCUAUUAACGAAAUCCGCGCCGUCGCUAACGCAUUAAGUGCCCCGCCUGGGGAGUACGGUCGCAAGCUAAAACUCAAAGGAAUUGACGGCNGAGACGNGCGAGACGACGACGAGGAGAGG
rnacentral:rRNA from 1 species